CACGAACGCUGGCGGCAGGCCUAACACAUGCAAGUCGAGCGAGGACUUCGGUCCUAGCGGCGGACGGGUGAGUAACGCGUGGGAACGUGCCCUUUCCUACGGAAUAGCCCUGGGCAACUGGGUGUAAUACCGUAUGUGCCCUUUGGGGGAAAGAUUUAUCGGCAAAGGAUCGGCCCGCGUUGGAUUAGGUAGUUGGUGGGGUAAUGGCCUACCAAGCCGACGAUCCAUAGCUGGUUUGAGAGGAUGAUCAGCCACACUGGGACUGAGACACGGCCCAGACUCCUACGGGAGGCAGCAGUGGGGAAUCUUAGACAAUGGGCGCAAGCCUGAUCUAGCCAUGCCGCGUGAGCGAUGAAGGCCUUAGGGUUGUAAAGCUCUUUCAGUGGGGAAGAUAAUGACGGUACCCACAGAAGAAGCCCCGGCUAACUCCGUGCCAGCCGCCGCGGUAAAAC
rnacentral:rRNA from 1 species